rnacentral:lncRNA from 1 species
GAUGAUGACGGCUGCAGCCAUCUUGCAACCUUGAGGUGACAAGCAUGAAAACAAAAGCCUACAUGCUAAGACGGAGGCUAUACUGCUUUCCCAUGAAUUCAGACAAAGCCGCAGCUGGAGAAGGAUGUGGUGGAUACACAGAGAGAGAGACACUGAGGCACUAGAGUGGGAGGCAGGGAGUGGCUGCCGUGGCCCCUGGCUGUUUCCUGGUUUCUUGUGAGGCCUGGAUGCACUCCACACUUGGGUUCCAAGGAAACCUCCACCAGUUGGGAUUCAUAAAUGCAAGCAACAGAAACGGACUCUGUCUCCUGCAGGUGACUCCCAUUGGGAAAAUCCAACAAAAGCCGGAGAGUAAAGGAUCCUGUUGACAUAUGCCAUGCAGGUGUCGAUCCCAAGAGCACUCCCGAAGUAACUUCCUGCACGUUAAUCUCUAUCUCAGAGUCUGCUUUCCAGAGAACCCAACCUGUAGUCCUCCACCCCCACUGUAUCCAUGCCCAGUGGAAUGUGACUUUGCAGCUUCUCCAAUCAAGAGAUGAAGUCUAUUUCUCCACUCCUUGAAUCUAGGCUGGUCUUGUGACUUGCUUUGGUCAACAGAAUGAGGCAGAAGUGAUAUCAUACCAUUUCUGAGCCUGAGCCUCCAGAAGUCUUGCAUGCUUCUGCUCUCACUUUUGGAGCCCAGGCCAGCCUACUGGAACAUAAAAGAUGUAUGGCCAAGUCACAGCUGUUCCCCCCCUGACAGCCAACCAUCCCCCAGAAACAGAGCCACCCAGCUGACCACAGUGCAUGAAUGAGCUUGUCCAAGACCAGAAAUACUACCUACCUGAGCCUAGCCCAAAUUGCUGACCUGGAGAAUCAUGAGCUAAUAAACAGUGUUGUUUUAAGCC